rnacentral:rRNA from 1 species
UACGGAGGAUCCAAGCGUUAUCCGGAAUUACUGGGCGUAAAGAGUUGCGUAGGUGGCAUGGAAAGUUGGUAGUGAAAGCGUGCGGCUCAACCGCAUACACAUUACCAAAACUCCCAAGCUUGAGGACAAGAGAGGUCACUGGAAUUCCUAGUGUAGGAGUGAAAUCCGUAGAUAUCAGGAGGAACACCGGUGGCGAAGGCGGGUCUCUGGGCCGAUACUGACGCUGAGGAGCGAAAGCCAGGGGAGCAAACGGG